UGUAGACCACAUUUGAUGCAACAUCGGUAUAAUCGCCGUCCUCGUCAUUAAUCAAUAUUUUUAAAUCACCCCUCAAACAAUAAGUGUGAGUAAGAUAGGAUGGUUGAACAAUAAUAUACAUAUUUACCUUAUUUGAUUCUGUGGGUUCUAUCAAUGGCUCGACCUGCUGGAUUAUCGAGAGGAGCUAGCGGAGUUGCAAUCUCGCUCAUGACACUGGAGAUGUUUGAACUGAACGGUUGGAUAUGUUGGAUGUGAGAAUCACUGCAGUGGAGGACUCCUUGCGACAAACAAUGGAUGAAUUCUGUCAAAUCAUAACAACGGAGUUUGCAAAACUGUUGGAUCGACGCUCUUCGGGAGGUGUUCACUCAUCCUCAUACACCGAGGAUUCGGUUUGAGUACAAGUUGAUUAUGAGAAGGAAGUAGAUCCAGAGGGAAAUGAGUCUGAGGCUCAAAUUAUCGUAACAUGUAUCGUAGCUAUAGAAGAAGUGGUACCGUUUGGUGCAUGCAUCGCAAGGAGAAGAAUGAAGGGAAAACGAAGGUUACAAGUUUAAGGGUCGAAGACUGAGAAGAUGCAGGAACAACCAUAAUCAAUGGCGACAACCCUGUGUAUUGCGAGAUGCAACGCAGUGAGAGAAUUUGAGGUGUGCGUCGAAUCGAGGAAGUCAGAGAAAAUGAAAGUACCAGGCAUGUUGAUGGAGGGACAAUGUGCGCAUAGAUCCUGUGGCAACACUACCAUGGCGAGUCCCGCACCCAAACCACUGAAUCUAGAAGAUUCUGUGAACAGGGAGGGACAUGAGAAAAUGAAUAUGUAGGAGAGGGAAGUUGCAAGUGGGUCGGACCAAGCCAUUGUCAACCUCGAAGCUUCCAGGCGCCGUUACGACAACCAGGGAGUGGCUGAGUCUGACGUCAUUGUCACUGGUGCAAACAGAGGCAUACACUGCUUGCGAGGAAGAAGACAGAUUGACGGAGAAAGGAGAAAGGAGUGUGUUCUGUGAGUUAGGUCCAAAUCUUGACCUAAUGAGCCGAGCCCGUAUUUAGUUUAACUUCUUGAGGAUGGUAUCUAGUAUUUGGGCUGGAGUUAAGCUACUGGUUUUGGCCUGCUAGUAGCCCAAGUUUUGUGAUAAGCCUACUAUCCUUUUACAAGAGAAUAAAAAAGAAUGCUUAUUGCCUCUGAUGUAUCUCCAGUUUCUCAGAAGACAAGGUCGGUUCUUGAGGGCAAGGUUGUUUAUAAGACGGUGGCAUUGAUAGAUAGGACAUUUAUGCAUAUUCUAGAAGAAAGUGGCACCAUGGUGGGGGUGGGGGGAGUGAGUUUGUUAGUAAGGUUUCAUAAGAGGUAUGUGAUUCUAUUAGAUAGAGGGUAAUAUAUAUGGAUAGGCUCAUGUGUAAGGGUAUUCAGACUUGUAUAAGGAAUUGGUUAGGAGAAUUAUUCUCUGUUUGUACGUGCAUACAUGAUGGUUAAUGAAUUGCAGAAAAUGAAUUUAGAACCUACGACAGCCAUGUACAAUGCAAUACUGGCAGGAUAUUUCCACGAGGUAUGAAUAAACCAAGCUUCUGUCUUAACACCAAACUUGAAAAUUGGAGAUAUCGGUUGUUUGUUGAACAAGGGAAUAAGCUUGUCAUCCUUUUGCAGCGCUUUGAUCUGACUUGAAUGUAAUUUCUUCAUCUGGUCUGAUUGCUAUUUUGGGAAGUGCUUAUUCUAAAUUGGUUCUGAAAAUAAGACCACUGCCUGAAACACCAGGGCUAUUACUGUUGUGAAGAUAGACAGUGACACAGUGUUCCUAUCAUUGCUCUUAAAUAGAAGCCAAAAUUUAGAUGAAUUUCAUAAGAAUUGGAUCAAAUCAAACCAUGACUUACAAAGAAAUGAGUUGUCCAAUUAAGACAUGAAACUGAACUUCUUCCCACACUCCUUCAACAAAAAGGACAUACCAUAUGUAGUGAGGAUGGAUUUUUUCUUCAUAUUACUUAAUUACGCAUAUAUGUCAGGUGAGGACCUGCAGUGCAAAUUACGAUACUCUUUUGAAGAACAGGGAAUGCUUGACAACUUUCCUGCAUUUAGGAAGUAACAAGAUCACGAUCUUAGUACAGUUUUCAUAUAUGCUAAUAAUAAAAUGGAUAGGUUCUAUACAAUAUGAUGCAAGUCAUAAAUAAAUAACAUAGGUGAUUACAUCUUAAGCUUGGAAGGUAGCAGUCAGCAAGUUCUUGCUCAAUGUUGACUCUAGUGGCUGCUUGUGUAAAUGUACAUUUAACACCUUGUAUUGUAUUUGUACAAAUUAGGCAAGGUCAUUUUUCACAACAUAUCUUGUUCUAUAGGAUUAUUCAUUUCGAAAUCAUAUUAAUAGUUUCUACAUCUGAUGUCUUAGUAAGAAUAUGGCUGUCAACAAUGGUUCAAUUAUCAUUAGGGUGUUUUAAAUUGGGGAUCUGCAAAAGGAUGACAUUGUUCUUCUGAAUAUAUUUACUUCUGUCCCUCCAUUUUUAGUUGGACUGUGGGGAUUGUUUAUUUAAUUAUCUUAUGUACUUCUUUCUCUUAAUGAUUUUUCGGUUAAUAAAAAGGCAUUUAAAUGAAUAUUUGGAAUCUGUGUAAAACUAUUCAUUCAUUUUCUCACCUUUUCCGAAAGUGUAGAAAGGCCUCAGUGGUGGAUUGAGGGUCAUCAAAAACAUGCAAGAUGCCAACGUAAUGCCUGAUUCACAGACUUUUCGCUAUUUGGUUGGCAUUUGUGAAACAGAAGACGAUAUAAAUAAGUAUUAUGAAGAACUGAUGCAAUCUGGAAUCCGCCCUUAUUAUAUGUCCCUUAUUAGAGAUGCAGCAGCUUGCUGGGAAUUGGAGAAGGCAAAACAGGUAUAGGUUCGAGAAGCAAGAUGCAUUUUGUAAGCUUUGAAUUGCUAGCUGAUCGAACUUGCGUAUUGAUAUUGAUGAGUAGCUAGAUGUAGAUGUUUACAAUGACUUCCAUCAAUUUUUAUAUGACUGAGUUUGUGUAACCAUAACUAACUUCUGAACUGGACGGCCCUAGGAUCAACUUUUGAAGUCCUUUUUGGGAUGAAAUGUGAAAAUUUUAUGCGAAAGUUUGAAGCCAUAACAAGAUUUCUCUUCCAUUGUAAAUAAAUCUGGGAACAUUUGUACUCUGCUUUAAGUUCUGCUUCAGUUUUCUAACACCAGCUGCAGCUACGUACUGUACUAGGUCAUAAUUAGCUAUCUCUUCUAACCAUAAAUAUUCUGUCUUUUUUAUUCUAGAUAACUAAUGUUCGUGCCUUCCUUUCUCAGACUAUAUUUUAUAAAACUAGACAUCAUCACCAGUCCAAUUUCACAUAUUCAUCAAAAGAUUUAAUUUAUUUACCAAAAACAUGAAAAGAAAGAUAGAAAUAUGACAGGCUAUUCAUUCUAGUUUGGACAAUAUAUAUUUACGAUGGACUAUCUGUUUAGACAAAACCUGUUUUUUUUCUCCUAUCCUUAAUCAGCUUAGGUAUUGUGAAAUGGGAAUAUUCUAAUGCUCAACAUGGAGGAAAUUGUUAAUGCCAAUGUGUAACUGACUUUGUGUUAUUAAGACCAUGUUUAGUAUUUUGGUACAUUUGAUGGUCUGUAAUAAUAUUUUAAAUGUUGUGUUGUGAUGGGUUGAUUUUGUUUUUUUGUUUUGACUAAUGUGAUGUGUAUUGAUUAAAAUACUAUUAUUGUUUUUGCUGUUUUGUGUGUUAUUUUCUUUUUUGACAAGGUUGUGUGUUAUGUUUAUGAUUGUUAAUAUUUGUAAUAUAUUGAAUGUUAAGUUAUACUAUACUAUUAUUUUAUUGAUAUUUCUAUGAAGUUUUCCAGUCAUGAAGCUUGACUCUACAACAGUAGAUGAAGCACGUAGACGAUUUUGUAUAGACGACUCUUUGAUGGAUGAAGAACUGCAUCGUAGCUUCGAAGGACAUUCUUGUUCAAAAGAUUUCAUCUUGAGUUUAUUUACUUUUUGAUGAAUAUGAAUGUACUCAGAUCAAGGGAGCUUCUUUCUACUGUGAUAUUUUGUAACCAGCCAAAUUUGCUUCAUUGAUCCAUUCAACUUAUUGCUUCUUGCCUUUAAAUUGCACCUUGUAACAAAAUAUAAG